UACAGAGGAUGCAAGCGUUAUCCGGAAUGAUUGGGCGUAAAGCGUCUGUAGGUGGCUUUUUAAGUCCGCCGUCAAAUCCCAGGGCUCAACUCUGGACAGGCGGUGGAAACUACCAAGCUGGAGUACGGUAGGGGCAGAGGGAAUUUCCGGUGGAGCGGUGAAAUGCGUAGAGAGUCGGCAGGAACACCCAGGGCGGAAGCAGGCGACUGGGCUUGGCUGACACUGGAGGUGCGAAAGCGCUGGGGAGCGAACAGG
rnacentral:rRNA from 1 species